rnacentral:piRNA from 1 species
UCAGUACUUUGGGGAGAAGGUUGAGAG